AAUAUGGGCGUGUGAGGCUGUGGGGUCAACCGCUCAUUCAGAAACAAGCAAAGCUCUCGAGGAAGGAAGUCAGCUUGCAAGGUCGUGUCGUUCGGUGAUCCACCCUUCUUAACAGUCCGGGCAGCUGAAGAGAUGGCUCAGCAGUGAAGAGGACUUGCUACUCUCCCAGAGGACACAAUUCUCAGCCACCUUGUGUCAAGUCGACAUAAAACUAACCAGCACACACAAAGGAGCGUAUGCAGAUGACUGCUUAGUUCGGAGUCGCCCAGCACUGUUUGUCCAGACUUAAGCACUGCCGAAGACCUCUGUAGUUCCUGUCACGUGCAUUUCUCACUGUUGGUACUGUUGGCUAUUCAGCAGAGAAAGCCUUCCCUGCCAGCCUCCCUUUAUUUGCUUUGCACACACGGUAAACUUUGUAAACUCUGCAGGAAAGUGUCUGCACCCCUGCUGAGGAGCUCCAGCAGCCAGGCCAGGCGGCUUCAAGUUCUGCCUCUGGGCUCCCCCUACAUCUUUCCCUGGAUCCCCCUCUUCAGCUCCCCGAGUGCCACACUCUGUGGGUCCCUGGAAGGGGUGCUCCGAUCUUCAAGCUGUGCUGCUGGCCUCUCUACACCUCCAGACAGCAACACCUCAGGACUCCAGGACUGCUGAGGCUAACCUCCACAGCCCUUAGACCUGAGACAAGACGCCUGGAGAAACUGAGAAGCUGAAGCCACAGAGAAAACCACAGAACCUGAGGCCUUGGUUAUGGCUGCUGCUGUCAGAGAACUGUGGAGGGAGGUGUGUUCAACUGGAGCUAGUGUGUGAGCUCCAGGCACUGUCUUUGUGGCAACAAUGUAUAAACUAGCCAUUCCUCCAAGGCAGUGAGCUUUACAUAGUCUGACACUGCCAGCCAGGGACCAGAACUAGAAAUCUGACCCUUUAGUAUAAUAAGUUCAUAGUUUACUUAAGGAAAGUUGUUUUGUUUAGAGUUCAAGUCCCUGUAAACCCCCUAGGGCAUGAGUUAAUAGACCCCUCCCCCCACACCUCUCUAACUGUCUAACUGGCAGUUUCAGCCUCUAACUGUUAAACCGGUCAUCUCCAGCCCAUCAGUGGGUCCCCUCCCAGAUUUAUGCUAAUUUCAGGUAAAAAGACUGAACAAAAACCCACCAAUCCCUAAACUUCCCCCAAGCUCAGGACUUGAAAUCCCACCAAUCCUCUCUCUGGAAAUCCCUGCCCUGGAAAGCCCCACCCCCUAAAAAUAGAUUAUAUGAAGGCUGUGUUUGCCCAGCUUUCUGCUGUCUUCAUCUGGUAGCAAAGGCAGGAACUCCGGGAUUUUUCUCUCUUCUUCUGGAUUCCUCCCUCCAAUACAUCUCUUUUUAGGAGAUUUGUUGCCUGGUGUGACUCUUUUUUUUUU